rnacentral:rRNA from 1 species
AUGAACGCUGACAGAAUGCUUAACACAUGCAAGUCGCUGGGGAAGUGGUGCUUGCACCAUGGCAACCAUGGCGGACGGGUGAGUAACGCGUAAGGGACUUACCUGCAGGACUGGGAUAACAGGGGGAAACUCCUGACAAGACCGGAUAAUGUCAUGGAGCUGCAUGGCUUUAUGAUGAAAGGAGACGCCUGCGGAGAGCCUUGCGUCCUAUUAGCUAGUUGGUGAGGUAAUGGCUCACCAAGGCGAAGAUAGGUAGCCGGCCUGAGAGGGUGGACGGCCACAAGGGGACUGAGAUACGGCCCUUACUCCUACGGGAGGAGGCAGUGGGGAAUAUUGAACAAUGGGGGCAACCCUGAUCCAGCAAUUCUGUGUGCACGAAGAAGGUUUUCGGAUUGUAAAGUGCUUUCAGCAGGGAAGAAGUAAGUGACGGUACCUGCAGAAGAAGCGACGGCUAAAUACGUG